UAUUUGACAUUCUCCUAAAUUUAUUUUUUACUAAAUUUUAAAAAAAUAUAACUAAAAUGGACAAUUUUAAGUAAUCUCUAUGACUUUUAGACUCACCCUUCUUACUAUCAUUUUAUGUUCUUUCAAAAUUAUAAUCCAUAUUCUUCUUCUUCCACUAACUUGAUAUUUUGUCCAAUAAAUCUUAUAUUAGUGUUCUCUUAUUGUGUUCUCAAUUCUCUAAAUAUUUUUUUUUCUAAGUUAUUCUCUUCCUUUCAGAUUACUUAGAAUUGCAAAAAGUAUUAUAUAUAGCAAUAUAAAAUACAUGUAUAUUUGUAAAAAUAAUCAAAACUUAAUUGUAAAUUGUUUAUGUUGGCAAAUGAAGACUAGCACAAAUCUCCUCUUCCCCC
rnacentral:lncRNA from 1 species